AUGUAUCCUUCUGAUGGUGACAAGGAUCAUGGAGGAGCUCCUCUCCUGCUACAGAGCAGCUGCUGCACCACCCAUUCUGCUGCAGUCUCAUCACUGGUUGCAAAGCUGGACACCAUUCACCCACCAGAAAUAGGAAAAGUUUCCAGAGAAAAAAGUAUAAAACCCCACUAAACCCUGUGUAUUCAGGCAAAAAACUUACCCAAUAAAUUGAAAUAUUUCUCAGCUUUUACA
rnacentral:lncRNA from 1 species